GUUCUUGCGAUACUUUUCAUAGGUAAUUUUGUUUUCUGUACUUUAAUUUUUUUUCUUUUGGGUUCAAAAAUUUCUGUCUUUUCUUUCAGUCUCUCCUUCUAUAUGUUGCGAUUGGAGCAAAUUUGGCUUCUGGGUUUUUGCCCUCUGUUCAUGUAAAACGGCUUAACAUUGUGUACUAAUGAAUCGAUGCCACUUAUUGACUAUGGCUACUGUUUGCACUUUUAUUGGUUUUGAUCUGUGAAUUUGGGUACUUUUGGUUCUAAUUAUGAUUAAAUCCGUUAUCAAUGCUAAAAGAAAAGUACUUCUUUUUAGGAUCAUUUGAGUAAAGGAUAGUUCCCAAUUGCAAAAAUUAAAGAUGGGAACAAUAAUUUUCUGCAGUCCCUAUGAUGUCUUUCACAUGCUUAAUGUCAAGGAUUGAGUUUUUGGUUUUGAUAUGGUAGUGU
rnacentral:misc_RNA from 1 species